UAAUCGAAUUUUAAACUAUUUUUAGUCUCUCGUGGGUAUAUAUCGCCAAGUGGCACGUUUUCUCCCAUACCGAGACACUAAUUAGAGUAAAAAAUGACAUCGCCUGAGAUUGUUUUCAACUUCCUUGAGUACAGAUUUAGUGACUCGCACGAUAGAAAAUGUUUGCAGGGCGACAAAAAGGCAUCAGCAGCACACGCAGGUAACAGCUGAAAAACAUGCAAAUCAUUCCCGAGAUGCGCACACCACACACGUGUGGUGUGCGCAUUUUUCAAGAAAGGUCGUGCACGGUAGUAAGAAAAAAAAUGAAAAAUGCAUUGAGCUCUUUCGAGACGAGCUCAAUGAUCGGAGAUUUUCGUUGCAAAUAAAAUAAAAUUACAAAGGUAAAUUUGGAUAAAAUUACGGAAAGAAAUUUAAUAUGCUGCAGUGGUAUAACAGAAAUUAUUUCAUAUCGCUUCCGAAUCGAAUAGGCCGAACAAACAGCGUGAAACGUCCUGAAGUUUGGGAAUCUUUAAAACUGAAAUGCUUUCUACAAUUUAUGCUGCGAUGGAAUAUUUUAACGCAAUGGUUUUAAACUGCUAAUUAUAGACGGACGUGCACAUUUGAUGUCUGUAAAAUAUUGUGUGUAUGGCGUAACGGAACUUCUGGGAAAAUGUGGUGCUUACUCCUAUAGGCUGGUACUACGGUCUUUUUUACGGAAAAAUUUCCGAAAAUCGUUCUUUCGGUGGUUUGAAAAGGUUACCACAUUUGAUUUUUUGGGUUUCUUUGGCCAAAAUGGUGCCAUCUACAAAUAAUAUGGCAUCAAACAAUUAAUCAGCUGCUUAAAAGCAUGUGUACACACAAAUGUGAGUGUAUGGGUCACACUAAAAUUAAUGUAUGUUGUUGUAAUUUGAACCAAACCCCACCCCUUCGUAAUUAAUAUAUAAUGAAACGCAAAACAAUUUAAAAACAA